rnacentral:rRNA from 1 species
UACGAAGGGGGCUAGCGUUGCUCGGAAUUACUGGGCGUAAAGGGCGCGUAGGCGGACAGUUUAGUCAGAGGUGAAAGCCCAGGGCUCAACCUUGGAAUUGCCUUUGAUACUGGCUGUCUUGAGUUCGGGAGAGGUGAGUGGAAUGCCGAGUGUAGAGGUGAAAUUCGUAGAUAUUCGGCGGAACACCAGUGGCGAAGGCGGCUGUCUGGUCCGGUUCUGACGCUGAGGCGCGAAAGCGUGGGGAGCAAACAGG